CUGACUAUCCCACUGCCAGGACAAAGCUCCGCAAAGCUGAAGUGUCCUCAGAUCUACAGACAGAUCCAGAACCAGAGGGGGUCAAGCGCAAAAGAAAGUCUUAAAGUCUCAAUAAUGAGCUGAUGAGUUAAAUCGGGUGUGUUAAGUGAAAGUGAAAAGUGAAAGUGACGUUACAUACAACCAACUAUGGUGACCCAUACUCGGAAUUCGUGCUCUGUAUUUAACCCAUCCAAAGUGCACACACACAGCAGUGAACACACACACCCGGAGCAGUGGGUCUCAUUUAUGCUGCGGCGCCCGGGGAGGAGUUGGGGGUCCGGUGCCUUGCUCAAGGGCACCUCAGUCGUGGUAUUGCAGGCCCGAGACUUGAACCAACAACCUUCGGGUAAGGAGUCAAACUCUCUAACCACUAGUGCUGGGCUGGGCUGGGCUGCUCCAUGACAGUUUUGAAAACCAUUUCAGAGACAUGUUCUUAAAUAUGACUCAUAUAAAAUAUAUUACAUGCAUGCACAGUUUUAUGGCAGCUUUAAUUGCCUUUCUGGUAACGUCAUUACUUAACUGACCACGACUUUGCAUGCACGUAGUUUAUUUCACGCUUUGAUAUGAAAGGAUAGCAGUAGGCUACAGCGCUGAUGCCUUUGUGUGUGCGCUCCGAGUGCAAUACUGUUUCUGCACUGUGUGACUAGCGCCUGGCACUGAAGUGAAGUGGAGCGUGCGUCUGAAAGGUCUCCCGUAUGAUGUUGUCUUAAAAACGUUCUGCGACUGACAUACACUCAUUGUUCAAGGAAUCCUUUACUUACACGUUGGUUAUAAUGAAAGUAUUUGUGGGCAAAGAAAAAACUUUUUUUUUUUUGGAACAAACUUUGAAGAAUAGCAUUUAUUGGAAAUAUAAAUAAUCAUUUCUAACAUGAUCUUUACUCCAUUUCAGGCGUAAAGUUAUUGACACUGACUCCAGUGACACGUGUCCAGAAAUGGAUGCUACACAACCCCCAAGACGGCUUCUGUUAAAGGGGCUUGGGACCAAGCCAAUUGCUACCUCACCUAUUCCAAAUAGACCACCACCUCAUACUGUACAGGAAGACCAUAUGCCAUCUUGCUGCAUUUUAGCACAGACAGGAGCUUCAGCAAAAACUCCCUGCAGACCAGUUCAGCCCAGUGGAUUGGCAGUGAGGGAUGGAAUGUUUGUCCGUAUACUGACAUUACUAGAAGAAAUAAAGGAUUAUCAGAAGGUACAGGGAAGCAUGUUACAGUCUCUUCUGCAAAAAGAACAUGACAGUGGGGUUCCUGUCUUGCCCGAGGGGGUUGCCUUUCCAUUGAAGAACUUUGAUGAUUAUGAUGAUAUGGAGUUAAAGCUCUGUGAGUCUGAUUUUCAGAAAAACAUUGUCUCAGUCCUUGGGGACAUCGGAGGGAGGAGCCUCGACGAGUGUGUCUGAAGAAUUAUGGCAUUUGUGAUGGCGAAUGACCUUGACCGUCACUUCAACCUUACAGGGCGCCAUGGCAAACACUCAUUCAGUAGCCUACGUCUUUUUGAUAUUGUGCAUGGUAAAGUCAUUUCAACAUUUACAACGUCAGUUAAAGUUUUGGGAAAUGGUAGAUAAGAAUGUGCUUACAACCUUGUGCAUCUUAGUUGGUCUAUUUUUCUGACUGUCUUAUGCUAAUGUAACUUGCUUAUUUAAUGCAUAUUGAUUAUUA
ensembl:lncRNA